rnacentral:ncRNA from 1 species
AUGACCAACUAAUAUAUAGGAAAGAAAAUAAUAGCUAGAAACGGUUGCUAAUACUCCAUAGGCUAAGGAGCAAAAUGAGGAAUUCAUUUGAGGAGUUCACGUUUAAUUAGUUAGUUAGUGAGGCAAUAGCUUGCCAAGAUGAUGAUCACUAGCUGGUCUGAAAGGAUGAUUAACCACACUAGGACUGAGGCACAUCCCAAACUCAUAUGGGAG